GUGUCAGCAGCCGCGGUAAUACGGAGGGUGCGAGCGUUAAUUGGAAUGACUGGGCGUAAAGGGCAUGUAGGCGGAUAAUUAAGUUAGGUGUGAAAGCCCUGGGCUCAACCUAGGAAUUGCACUUAAAACUGGUUAACUAGAGUAUUGUAGAGGAAGGUAGAAUUCCACGUGUAGCGGUGAAAUGCGUAGAGAUGUGGAGGAAUACCGGUGGCGAAGGCGGCCUUCUGGACAGAUACUGACGCUGAGAUGCGAAAGCGUGGGGAGCAAACAGGAUUAGAAACCCUCGUAGUCC
rnacentral:rRNA from 1 species